rnacentral:rRNA from 1 species
AACGAACGCUGGCGGCAUGCCUAACACAUGCCAGUCGAACGAGACCUUCGGGUCUAGUGGCGCACGGGUGCGUAACGCGUGGGAACCUGCCCUUGGGUUCGGAAUAACUCCCCGAAAGGGGUGCUAAUACCGGAUAAUGUCUUCGGACCAAAGAUUUAUCGCCUUUGGAUGGGCCCGCGUUAGAUUAGGUAGUUGGGAGGGUAAAAGCCUACCAAGGCGACGAUCCAUAGCUGGUCUGAGAGGAUGAUCAGCCACACUGGGACUGAGACACGGCCCAGACUCCUACGGGAGGCAGCAGUGGUGAAGAUUGGACAAUGGGCGAAAGCCUGAUCCAGCAAGGCCGCGUGAGUGAUGAAGGCCUUAGGGUUGUAAAGCUCUUUUACCCGGGAUGAUAAUGACAGAACCGGGAGAAUAAGCUCCGGUAACCUCCGG